UGCACGCCUGCUUGUCCACACGCCAUGUACGAUCUGCAAAGUGCUGCGCAAAUGAGUGCGUGGUUUUUAAUUUGCACCAGGUGACCUGGGUGUUUUAUAGGGAACACACGUACAAGUAGAGCAGCGCCUCAAGAGGAAGGCAUCACCGAAACACGUGUCGGGGUGUGCGGCUCUCCUGAAGUGGAUCUCCCUACAAUGGGUCAGAAUAUUUCGCUCUACGCAUUGAAAAUGUAUAAUGUGUUAUUCACAGCUGAUCUCAUUCAAGCACUUUGGCACCUGAAACAGAGCCAGUAGAGAAGGCAGUGUAAACAGAUGCAGGGUCUGGACCUUCUACUUCACACGAUUCUCCUCUGGACACACACAGUCCCCAACCUGAAACCUCUGCCGGGAAUGAGAACCCUCCACAGUACAUACAGAUGUCCUUUUAAGGGGUUAGCAGUUUGCACAAAGGCAGAGUACAGGUUGGAGAUGUCCAAAUGACUUGGAAGAUCUCACAAGAAUCAUUCAAGACUGCUUGCUUUGAUUAGAGGAACAGCAGACUUGGUACUGUAUAAGGAACGACCACCGUCUUCCUUGACUGAGCCACGGGAAACUGUAUUUUUAUUCUACAACUUCUCAACAUGUAACACUCCUGCAGUCUGUUUCUCCCUCUGUGUAUCCACCUCAUUUCCAUCCCCUUUCACCCCUAAUUCCCUUCAAUACCAUCCCCCAUUUCAGGCCUUCAGACUCCUCAACACCAACCACUUGCAGAAUAUCAUAGACCUCAGGAAUCAUAUGAGUGCUCCUGAAAAUAAGAGGUCCAGAAGUGAGGUACACUGGCAAAAUCUCCCCAUCCACCAAAAUAGGUAAAAAAAAGUUGACUUCUCAACUAUUUCAGGAACUGUUAGUAAUUUGUUAAACAUUUUUAAUAAAAUAGCAAAUUUUUAUUUUAUUUGCAAAGUUGUUAUAUUUACACACAAAAUUUCAAUACAAAAUUGUUUUAGUCCUAUAAAGAAAGAACAUUAUUUAUAACAUAUUGUUUUAUUCAAUUUAUUUUUUCAUAAAAUGAAUGUAUUGGCUUCUUUCUUCUCUACCAGAUAGGGUAGAGUGCCUUAUGUACAGUGUAGGGAUGAGCGAAUCGACUUCGGAUGAAACAUCGAUUAGCAUAAAACUUUGUUCCAAUCCUGUAUGGAGUAGUAUUUGUACUGUAAAAAAAACUAUUUCCCGUACUCGGGUUCGGUUCCCAAGUUCGGGAAAUGUUUUUUCACAGUAUUAAUAAAGUUUUUGAAGCUAUUAUUAAUUAUAUUAAGUAAUUCGGCUCAUCGGAGCCAAUACAUUCUAAUACUGUACGAAGCUCCUGCUCCGUACAGUAUUGGAACGAAGAUUUAUGCAAAUCGAAUUCAGA